rnacentral:sRNA from 1 species
CCCUAGCCCUGAUAGAAGCGGCAUCCUUUUGUGGCGGGGUUCGCCACAAAAGAUAUAGCGGAUAGCAGGAAAUAGC